CUUCGAUUUUGACGAUCGCUUGAGUUUUUCCCCAUACACUCCAGCAGUUACGUUCAAGAAUUUUCAUCACUUCUCCACAACACAGAAGUCAUGUUUCACCAGUUGCUCACCACUGCUGUCACUCCUGUCCCACGUCGACGUCCUUGUGUGUUCCACCCUGAGCCCCUGUCCAACCUUCCCACCUCCUACAUCUCUGUCCCCGACCCAGUCCCCGCCUCUGUUUCUGUUAACAUCACCGGCCAAGUUAUUGUGGCUGACACUGACUUUGUGGAGAUAGAUCUGGGCAGUGAGGCAGACACACAACCCCGCCCACCCCAGUCCUUCCUGAGAGCCUUGCUGUCCCGUUUCAUCCGUCUGGUGAAAAGAGUCUUCAC